ensembl:lncRNA
GUUCAUGUUUUACAUACCCAGUGUAAAAUGCAAGGUAAAUGUGAUGUAAAUGUGAGGUAAAUGUGAUGUAAAUGUGAGGUAAAUGUGAGGUAAAUGUGAGGUUAAUGUGAGGUAACUGAGGUAAAUGUGAGGUAAAUGUGAUGUAAAUGUGAUGUAAAUGUGAGGUUAAUGUGAGGUAACUGUGAGGUAAAUGUGAGGUAAAUGUGAGGUUAAUGUGAGGUAACUGAGGUAAAUGUGAGGUAAAUGUGAUGUAAAUGUGAGGUUAAUGUGAGGUAAAUGUGAUGUAAGUGUGAGGUUUAUGUGAGGUAAAUGUGAGGUAAAUGUGAGGUAAAUGUGAGGUAAAUCUUUGAUUAGAUUAGAGCAAGCCUGGAUCCAUGAUGCUCUUCACUUCAGUGAUUCUUAUUCACUCUGCAUGAUGAAAUGCCUCCUUAAAAAAUAAAUAACUAUUUAAAAAAUAUUUU